rnacentral:misc_RNA from 1 species
CAGACACGAUGAGCUCCUGCAGGCUCCUGAGCUCUCCGAGAACAUCCGGCACCUCGCCGGCAAGGCGGUUGUACGCCAGAUUGAGCAGAGUCAGGUUGGCGCACCGCGCGAACUGCGUGGGGAUCCCGCCGGACAGGUCGUUUGUGUUGGCCUCGAAGUACGUGAGGCCGGUGGCGUCCCCGAUCGACGCCGGGAUGGCGCCGGAGAGGAGGUUGUCGCCGAUGCGGACGUUGGAGAGGCCGCGGCACCGGCCGAUGGUGUCGGGGAUGGUGCCGUUGAGCCGGUUCAUGGUGAGGAUGAGAACUUGCAGGUUGCCGAGCUCGAAGAGGCUGCUGGGGAUGCUCCCCUCGAGGGCGUUGGAG